ACGUUGCAGAGCGUUGCACAGCUUGGCCAUGCAAGUCUCAGUACGAGCUCAUUUAAAGUGAAACCGCAAAAGGCUCAGUAAACCGGUCAUAGUUUACCGGAUAUAUGCCACUAACGUGGAUAACUGUGGUAAUUCUAGAGCUAAUACAUGCAAACAAGUCCCGACCAGCGAUGGAAAGGACGCUUUUAUUGGAUCAAAACCAUUCGCCCGGCUCGCCCGGGCGUCUGCUUGAUGACUCUAGAUAACACCACAGAUCGCACGGUCGCAGUACCGGCGACGUAUCCGUCAAAUGUCUGACUUAUCAGCUGUCGAUGGUAGACUCUGUGUCUACCAUGGCGCUCACGGGUAACGGGGAAUCAGGGUUCGAUUCCGGAGAGGGAGCCUGAGAAACGGCUACCACAUCCAAGGAAGGCAGCAGGCACGCAAAUUACCCACUCCCGGCACGGGGAGGUAGUGACAAAAUAUAACGAUACGGGACUCAUCCGAGGCCCCGUAAUCGGAAUGAGAACACCCUAAAUCCUUUAACGAGGAUCUAUUGGAGGGAAAGUCUGGUGCCAGCAGCCGCGGUAAUUCCAGCUCCAAUAGCGUAUAUUAAAGUUGUUGCGGUUAAAAAGCUCGUAGUUGGUUCUGCGUGCCACGCUGUCGGUUCACCGCCUGUCGGUGCAACUGGCAUGCCCGUGGCAUGUCCUGCCGGUGGCCGACGGGCUUCUGGCGGCGCCCCGGUGCACGUUAACCACACGUCCCGGUGUGCUGCCGCCCAGUCGUACCCGUGGGCCGGCUCAAUCCUACCGCGGUGCUCUUUGCCGAGUGUCGAGGUAGGCCGGCACUGUUUACUUUGAACAAAUUAGAGUGCUUCAAGCAGGCUAUGAAAGCAGCCUGAAUAGUGGUGCAUGGAAUAAUGGAACAGGACCUCGGUUCUAUUUUGUUGGUUUCCGGAAUSCGAGGUAAUGAUCAAUAAGGACAGGCGGGGGCAUUCGUAUUGCGACGUUAGAGGUGAAAUUCUUGGAUCGUCGCAAGACGCACUAGAGCGAAAGCAUUUGCCAAGUAUGUCUUAAUUGAUCAAGAACGAAAGUUAGAGGCUCGAAGGCGAUCAGAUACCGCCCUAGUUCUAACCAUAAACGAUGCCAGCCAGCGAUCCGCCGAUGUUCCUCCGAUGACUCGGCGGGGAGCUUUCCCCGGGAAACCAAAGCUUUUGGGUUCCGGGGGAAGUAUGGUUGCAAAGCUGAAACUUAAAGGAAUUGACGGAAGGGCACCACCAGAAGUGGAGCCUGCGGCUUAAUUUGACUCAACACGGGCAAGCUCACCAGGCCCGGACAUUGGAAGGAUUGACAGAUCGAUAGCUCUUUCUCGAUUCAGUGGGUAGUGGUGCAUGGCCGUUCUUAGUUGGUGGACUGAUUUGUCUGGUUAAUUCCGAUAACGAAACUCACUCUGAUCUAUUAACUGUGUUUUUUCUGUCUGGAUAGACUACCUCUUAAAAUUAUUCUUCUUAACGGGACAGGCGGCUAUCGACCGCACUAGAUUGACCGUGAUGCCCUUAGUGAUGCCCUUAUAUGUUCUGGGCCCCCUGAACACUUCACUGAGGGAAUCUCCGUGUGCUCCCCUGAUUGAAAAGCCUUGGCAAACUUUUCAAGCUCGUUAGAGCGAAUAGUUGUGAUUUGCAUUUGUCCACCAUGAACGAGGAAUUGCAAGUCAUCRCCUGGCAUUGAUUCCCGUUGAGCCCUUCCCUGCCCUUUGUACACACCUGCCCGUCGACUGAACCGAUUGAAUGAUUUAGUAAAUUGCUUAUGGACCAACGGUUACCGACACCCUUUGUUCCACACAACCGUAUCGGUUCCACUCGGAAUUGAUGACGGAACUUWGAUUAUUUAGAGGAAUUAGAAGUCGUACCACGGUUUCCGGAUCCAGUGAACCUGGAAA
rnacentral:rRNA from 1 species